UACGGGGGGUGCGAGCGUUGUCCGGAAUCACUGGGCGUAAAGGGCGCGUAGGUGGUUUGAUAAGGGUGUGGUGAAAGUCCGGGGCUCAACCCCGGAUCUGCCGUGCCGACUGUCAAACUCGAGGACUGUAGAGGCAGACGGAAUUCCUGGUGUAGCGGUGAAAUGCGCAGAUAUCAGGAGGAACACCGGUGGCGAAGGCGGAUCUCUGGGCCGAUACUGACGCUGAGGAGCGAAAGCGUGGGGAGCGAACAGG
rnacentral:rRNA from 1 species